AAGAGUGGCUGAGAUCCAUUCCUUGUCUCACUCCCUGCUGUCAGAAGCCUCUCUGCCUUUGUGUGCAACUCUGUUGGGAAACUCUUGCCCCAUUCUAGGCUGGAGCCCCUGCUGGAGCUGCUGGGCCUGUGCCCAUUUGCUGUGGGGACUGGCCAGGGAACCGAGAGGGCUGCAAGCAGCAUGAGGAUAGUAUUUGACUGACUAUGGUGUGCAGAGUUGGUGUUCUAAAAGCACUUGUGACUUGGAGGACUAGGUCUGCUCUCUGCCUUGAUCAAAAAGAUUUUCUGUGCAUCAAAGAGUGAUCAAGACAAGAGAUUCCUGGCUGGUCAAGGAGCUGAGCGCAAGUGACUGUGGAGUGAUGGCAACACGAUGUUCCGCGAUAAAACUGACACAAAAAACAAUGCAAAAUUUGUCUAAGAGAGGUUCAGCAAGCAUGAGAAAAACAUCUGAUAUCUCUCACAGCCCGCCAAGUUCGCCGCUCACGGUGCCAGGGUAAUUAUGGGGUGAUUUGAACAGAGGCUAUGCAGGGAAGCCACUUCCAAAUGAAUCAGGUAGUUUCCAGAAGGGGUGCACAUUGGGCUCCUGGCUCUUCUGGCACCUUGACAGAAUCGAUAAGCACUGGCCGAGGCUCCCAGCAGCCUCGUACAUUAUCCAAUGCUGUGUCUCACUCCACGCUGCCUAAUUAAUGGCUCACUUCUUUAAAAACUCUUAUUCAAUUAGACUCUGCUUUCAAUAAGAUAAACAUGCCUGAUACAAAAGUCCUGCCCAUCUCCUGGAAGCUUCUGCUUUUCAGUUGCCCCUGGUCCCCCAUUCUGUCCAUUCUCACGUGCUUUGUUUUUUGAAUGGGGUUCAUAUAAAGGAGUCCCUUCCCACCUUCUUGCGUUGGAGGCUUCCCCCCUUUAGUCUUUCCACAAGAACAGCAGCAGAGACUAAUACAACUGUUCUCACUGAUUGCAAAGAGCCACACGUGUUUGAAAUGGGUCAUUGACGGAGUCUUGUUCAUAUCCAUCACUUUGAGACAAAGACUUGCCUCUUCCGUGGGCUGCCAUCCUUAUAUUCUUUAUCAGGCCAGAAUCUCAGGUGAAACGUUAGCCGCUCUUUUGCUCAUUUAGCCAUAUGCUUUCUCAUUUGGCUCAGAAAUGGCUCCAAGAAACAAAUGCCUUUAUAGACUGUAUUUUCAGUUCUAACAUUUGCUUUGUUAUAGAGUUUAUCCUGAGAACAAAAAUAGCUUAAAAGGUCUAUCCUGACUUGAGCAAUCUGCCCCAAGUUGGUUUUACUGUAUAAUUAAGCUGCUGUUAGUGAAAAAAAAAAUACAGAAUAGAAAGUUCCCAAUCAUCUUUGGUGACAAAGUACUAUUGCAGUGAACAAAUUAAACUUUGCAGGCUUAUAAUCGUCAUAAUGUACAGGUAAAAUGUAAGAGCAGAUGUUGCAUUUAUUUGGUCUGGAAGCCUUAAACACUGACACAUCCCACAGCUAAAGGCAGACAUGAGAGCUGAGGACUUCCUGAAAAGACCCACGUCUAUCUGUACCACUAACCGACACUGGAUGACUCAAUCUCCCAUAGUCCCUUGUUCUUUUAUUGAAACACAAAUAUGAGUGAUGGUUGUUUGCAAUGUUAUGAGAGUCAAAUCAGGGCACAGGUAGAAAAGACGUGUAAAUUUGUGACCCACAGCACAGUUUUGAAUGCAUUAUCCAAGACAUUCUUCUCCAUUUAGCCAAAUCUUAUAUUUUCUUAAGACUAUAACUUUUCAUCAACAGAUGUUCUUUUCUUUAAUUUGGUAGUUUGUUACUAUGGCCUUAGAAACCCAAGGUGGAGAGAACAUUGCAGAGUUUAUGACUGUUAUGAAUAUUUGGCUUCUAAGGGCAGAGGAAGGUUCUGAUGAUAUUAACACUGAGGCCACGCUGUGAUUCAGUUUUGUAGGGCACAACGCCAUGUGACACUGGAACCUUUCAGUCGAGCAGAAUGUUGGGCACACUCCAAGGAAGCAAGAGUUGAUCUUUUCUUCCUCACAUUGAAAUCACUUGGCCAUUCAUGUAGAGGUAGAAUCAAUGUAAUUAAUGUCCAUAUUCUUGUUCAUAUUCAUGUUAGCCUAGAAUGAAGAGAACAAGGUCAGGCUGAGGACGCUAGCACAUUGGGAGGGAUGUUGAAUGUAUAAUCUAUGCCUGUCGAGCUUGUCUUCAUCUUAGGAGCAUGGUCCUCAACUCAGGCUCGAGCCAAAUGCAUUGUAUUUGUGUACUUUGGUUUUUGAUUCCUCAUGACCACUGAAGCUUGCUUAGUUAGUAGAACCCAUGUUUGAACAUGGAUCUUAGGGACUGAGGUAUAAUAUGUAGUCUUCAAAAAAUGUUUAAAGUUUCUCAGGGCCUUCUCAAGAGCAUCUAAGUUGAGAAAUAAAUAUUUAGAGACAAGGAAUAAUAAAUUAUCUCCCAAUCUAUAUGUGGUUCUUAGCUAGUUUGCUAUUGGUUUGAUUAAGCAUGAUUUUCAAUUAUAGAAGGAAAUCACAUAUGAACAUAUCAUAUGCAAUUCACAAUCUCUUUAUUUAUUUAUUUAUUUAUUUAUUAUACUUUUGCAGUAACUUAUUGUGUGUGUUUAUAUAUGUAUGUAUGUGUAUGUAUGUAUGUAUGUAUGCUAUAUGAUAUAUAUGAAUGUGAAUGUGAGUGGAUACAUAAAUGAAGCAUGAUUUAUAAAUACCAGUUUUCUUCA
ensembl:antisense